rnacentral:lncRNA from 1 species
CACAAUAGAAUCAUCAUAUGAUGAAUAAUAAUUUUAUCAUUUAGAAAGAACACUAGACGGAUGGCGUCUGUAAUGUUAAUCAAAAAUAAUGGACCCAUUAUCAUUCACCUUAAUAGGAGUCUAUGAUCUAGUUAUCCCCAUAACUAGCUCAUUUUAUGGACCUAAUAAUUUAGAGGAUUUAAAAAUUAGUUUAGAGAAG